rnacentral:lncRNA from 1 species
AAUCGAGAAGUUUUAUUUUCUCUCGCUCUCUCUCUCUCUCUCUCUCUCUUCCCCUCCUUCCUGUUAUAAGUAUUAUAUUCAUUUGCAGUGACGAUGGCCCAUCUAAAGAUAGAAAAGGGAUUAAAGAUAUUAGCAGUAGUCACACAAUUUCAGAAAGCUUGAGUGAACAGCGAGACUUAAAGUUGUCUGUGUAGAACAGCAAGAAUGGAUAAAAUGUGAAGUUACUAUGGCAACACUCGUAAUCCGGACCUCUUGGAUAAUCUGUAGUCAGUCAGUAAAGUUAAUGAGAAGAUUGGGAAACUUUGGCCUGUUUUUUACUAUUUUCUCUAGUAAUUAUACAGGUACGAACCGAACGGGAACCAAAUUAGACUUAUUAUUAAUUUUACCAAUCAAAUCCGGAGUUAUUUUUCUUUUUUUUUUAUUUUUAACAAGGGCCGAAAGAGAGAAGAGAGAGAGAGAGAAAAAAAGGAAACCCCAGUGGCCUCGUGCGCCCUUCUAAUAGAUACUUUAUAGUUGUGUUACGCAUUAAUGUCGUUUUGCUAGCAGAGUGCUUAUUACCUAGUCACAAGUCCGCCUAUUUCCGUCACGUCAUAUAAAAUAUGGAUUUUAUAUUAUUCCUGCAGAGUAUAAGAGUCGUAAAAGUAUUUUAAUCUUAUCAAAAUGUAAUCUAAACGUCCGUAAUUGAAAGUAAUCUCUAAAGAGCGUCGAGGAGGAAGAAACAAAAAAAAAAGAAAGAGAGCUACGUUGGCAGUUUUUAAUACGCGCAUCGUGGCCUUUAAAAAGUUAUUUACGAUCCAGGCCCGCUCUGAGGCAAGGAAAAAAUAAAAAAACAGCACGGAAACAACCCCAAAAAAAUCCUAGAAAGUAAACAAAAUCUCUAUAAUAUGUUUUUAUAAACCCCGAUACGCGAGCGAGGAAGAGCAUGACAUAGAUUUUGAUUAAUGUUAAUCACGAUUGAUCUACAGAUUAAGGGAGGUAAAAGCAAAAAAAGGGAUCAGAGUAAUCUGGAGAAACGCC